AUAUGCUAGUUGACCUUAACCAGUGCACUGCACUCUAUGUAACCAAUGAACCAUUCAGUUUUCACAAAUAGUCAACUCUCUCUCUUUCCAUCCUUCCCCAAGUAUUUAUUCCCUUCAAUUUUCUUCAUAUUUAUUUGCUUUAGAUUGCUUGAGAUUUGUUUAAAUUGCCUAAAUUUUUUUUUAAAAAAAUUGCUUGAUUACUUAUGUUAAUUGCUUCAGAUUUGUUGAUUUAUAGUAUAAUUUAUGUUGAAAUUUCUGUUCAAAAUUGGUGAAACAAUUUCUGUUUUUAAAAAAAUAAUUAUUUUAAACAAUUUGUUUCUGUAAACAAAUUGUUGAAGGAGAUUGAAGGAAGACCAAUCUUACACUGCUUAGCUUGUAAUUCUGUAUUUAUUGGUGAAACUCUGUGUGGCAGAUGAGCAUAAUAUGGUAUCACCCAAUACAUUUCUACCAUUCUUUAAACAAAACAAAACAAAAUAAUAAUGAUAUUAGGCAUUUAUAAUAAGAUCACAAACUGUGAGGGAAAUGGAUAAGUUUGCACAUGUUAACUUCUUAUGAGCAACCAAUAACUUUGGUCAUGCCUGGAUUUUCUGUGGUAGCCCAAUUGUGUUGCUAAUUCAACAUGCCUCUUAACAUAUUUUAAUUUGAUGUUAAUUAUAUUAUAAGCAAACCAAUAAAUUGCAUAAUUAAACUGUAAUUUUUAUGAUAAUAAUUUUGUGAAAUUGCAUAUUAUAAGCCAACCAACGCACAACACUUUGUUAUGAUUAGCUUGCUUUCUUUUCAUUGUCAAGUGAAAAUAAUGAUUCCCUGUAUAGUUCUUGCUGGCCCUAUUGGUCUUGGUUUUGGAUAUAUGAGGCAAGUACUAUAUGCUGUAAUUGCAUUUUGAUUUGUUAAUAAUUUUGGCGGUUAUGCAAUUCUUGUGCAAAGAUCUUAGAACCAAGUUUAAUCAUUGCUGUCAGUGCAGAAGGAAAUAACAUCCUUCCCUUUGUUAGCCUUAUUUUCUCUAGCAUGCUCAUUAUUGCUGGUGUGAGUUAUCCUCCAACAUUUUUGGCUACUCACUAUUUUACCUUCCAAAUUCUUAUUUUAAAUCUGAAAAAUGAUCUUAGUAGAUAGAGAAUCUUGUUGUGUUAACACUCAAGAAUGUGAAUGUAACUACUAUCUAAUCAUUAUUACAGUGCUUUACAUAUGCUUUUGCAAGGCAAUUAAAUGCUUUCCAGACUGGUGAUAUGUUAUUUGCCAUGUAAGAGACUCUGUUUAAAUGCUGUAUAUAGUUGCAAACUGUGUUCAUGUUAAUGUUUACUGCUUUUUUUAGGUGGAAUUCUUAUAUCUUGUUGAGCUUCGCUUGGUGUUUUUCUACAGUGGGUUAUCCAGGUCAUAGUGCUUUGGAGAAGAGACUAUUGUUGAUUUAGUUAUCAUGGAUGAGCAUUUUAAAGGACAAAGAUGUGCAUGCGUUCUUCUCCCUGCUGUUGCUCGCAACAAUCAAUCUGGCCUUUGUACACAUUGCCUCUUUUACUGAUCUUUGUUUUUCAUCUCUUAUUCUUGGUGCUACUGCUGGUCUCUCAUACAGGGAAUCUACUGCACAUUGCCAUUUUUAA